rnacentral:misc_RNA from 1 species
AUUGAUGAUGAACACGAACCUCUGUUCACAAGAUUGCCAAGAAAUCAAUGCCAAAGUAUUGUUAGUGAUGUAGAUUUUUGAAGAAGGAAAAAUAAGUGAGUUCAUAACAGGCAAAGAAAAGCUUCUACUUCUACAGUUUUUUAGUUGGGCGUAAGCAUUCUGCAACAUUUUCUUGAUGCUAAUGAUCAAGAUUGGUCAAUUCCACCAAAAAAAA